AUUGCUUGAUAUUUCAACAGCCUGCAUGAAAUGAUAGCCAAUAUCCAUCAAUAUAUGGGAGUUUGAAUUGGAUGAAUAACUCAUCACUUGAACAAAAACAAGUCAAAAUGCUACUUUCCCUUUACCAAAAUUUGCCCAAUCUGUUUGUGAUAGAGAAUGCAUUUCAUGCUAACAUAUAUUAUUAGAAUAACAAUAAGUAAAAGCAGAUCAGCCAAAAGUAAAUUACUGAGUUUUCAAAGCAGUUACAGCAAAAAUCCAGGCCAGAUGGUAAGAGACACACUGUUUGCCACACCAUGCCACAUAAUACAUGGGAAUUAUAUUGUUUACUAUCAAGAAACAGAAAUUGAACUACUUAACAUGCCUCAAGUACAUCAUUGUCUGGGAAUAACAGUAUACAGCCACAUCAAUGGUGUUGUAAUCCCUAAUAUGUUACAUGUUUUUGCAUGCCUUUAAUAUAUGUCCUAUGCACCAAAAAGCUUUUAGUUGUAUACCUCAUCAACUGGCCUCUUAGAAUCCCAUAACAAAAUCAUAGCAAUUAAAGAGUGAAAGAUUUCAUAGGCUGCAUUUGCUACGGGCAGAUUUAUAGGCCUACCAGAAAUCCAAUGUCAAGUCUGGAAUAGUUUUUUCAUUUUGCAGCUUAAAGGAGCAAACAGCCAGGUUAUCCACAGGAUAUCAAGUAAUCUUAGUCACAUGAUGAUGUAGAACAAAGAAGAACAACGAACAAAUCUUGAAGAAAAAGAAAACUAUUUUUCAAUUGUAUCAUUCUCAAUUAAUAAUCAUACUUAAAAUGACUAAAAUAAUAGAAAACUAGCUCCAUUAUAGAGCUUACAGCCCUAAUCAAAUUAGGAAUAGAAAUCCUAAUUCAACUCUAAUUGGGAAUACCAAAUUAAUUAAUCUUCCUAAACAAAAUAAUUCUUAAAUAUAACAAUAAUAGUAAUAGACUUCGUAAAUAAAUGAAAUGCUAAUUUCCUAAUUUUACAUGAAAUA
rnacentral:misc_RNA from 1 species